rnacentral:rRNA from 1 species
UACAGAGGUCUCAAGCGUUGUUCGGAUUCAUUGGGCGUAAAGGGUGCGUAGGCGGCGCGGUAAGUCGGGUGUGAAAUCUCGGGGCUUAACUCCGAAACUGCAUUCGAUACUGCCGUGCUUGAGGACUGGAGAGGAGACUGGAAUUUACGGUGUAGCAGUGAAAUGCGUAGAUAUCGUAAGGAAGACCAGUGGCGAAGGCGAGUGCCUGGACAGUUGCUGACACUGAGGCACGAAGGCUAGGGGAGCAAACGGG